rnacentral:rRNA from 1 species
UUCCUAGGGGUACGGAACAACUCAGGGAAACUUGAGCUAAUACCGUAUACGUCCGUGAGGAGAAAGAUUUAUCGCCCUUAGACGGGCCCGGCGUCGGAUUAGCUAGUUGUGGGGUAACGGGCCUACCAAGGCGACGAUCCGUAGCUGAUCUGAGAGGAUGAUCAGCCACACUGGACUGAGACACGGCCCAGACUCCUACGGGAGGCAGCAGUGGGGAAUCUUGGACAAUGGGCGCAAGCCUGAUCCAGCCAUGCCGCGUGAGUGAAGAAGGCCUUCGGGUUGUAAAGCUCUUUUGUCAGGGACGAUAAUGACGGUACCUGAAGAAUAAGCCCCGGCAAACUUCGUG